GACGAACGCUGGCGGCGUGCUUAACACAUGCAAGUCGAACGGAAAGGCCCUGCUUUUGUGGGGUGCUCGAGUGGCGAACGGGUGAGUAACACGUGAGUAACCUGCCCUUGACUUUGGGAUAACUUCAGGAAACUGGGGCUAAUACCGGAUAGGAGCUCCUGCUGCAUGGUGGGGGUUGGAAAGUUUCGGCGGUUGGGGAUGGACUCGCGGCUUACCAGCUUGUUGGUGGGGUAGUGGCUUACCAAGGCUUUGACGGGUAGCCGGCCUGAGAGGGUGACCGGCCACAUUGGGACUGAGAUACGGCCCAGACUCCUACGGGAGGCAGCAGUGGGGAAUAUUGCACAAUGGGCGGAAGCCUGAUGCAGCAACGCCGCGUGCGGGAUGACGGCCUUCGGGUUGUAAACCGCUUUCGCCUGCGACGAAGCGUGAGUGACGGUAAUGGGUAAAGAAGCACCGGCUAACUACGUG
rnacentral:rRNA from 1 species